UUUUCCGUCUCUGACGCAAGUUAUGCGACAAUUAGCGACCGGUUUAUAAGCAAAACAUUUGUUGAAUUUGAUGGUAAGGGUAAUCGUUCAGUAUUUAAAAUUCGCUUGCUGCUCCUAUUGAUUGCAUAGUCGACAGAAGUUACCAAAACCUUGACAAACAUCAACGAUCGUUUUAAAAGUCAACGAAGGAAAUCAAAAUGUCAAAAAUUAUUUUACUGUUAUCAAUAUUUACGUUAUUGAUUGGGCUUGUGGUGAAUGAAAAGAUUGACGAAAAUUGUUAUUAUAAAGCAUGUUUUUCUGACAGCCUGUGCUGUGAAGGAUUCUACUGCUUUUUUAGUGGCUUCAAUGGGAGUUGUUGGCCAAAAUAAACAAUUGGUGGAAUUUCCAAUUCGAGGUUUCAAUAAUUUAAUUUCAACAUCUAUUAAAUUAUUCCUCCAAGUAAAAUUAUAUAAGACGCAUCAACACAUGAAUAAAUAGUAUUGCGCUCUAUCACAAUAAAAAAUGGUCAUUAUUUUGUAAUAUAUU